CAGAGUAGAGAGCUGCGCGUCAGGCCGGGGUCACCCGGCCGCCAGUGCCCACCGGACGGGGAGUUGCCGGCGGGACGAAAGGGGAACGGUGUUUCCGCAUCCCCCGCGGUGCAGCCCUCGCAUCCCGCUG
rnacentral:ncRNA from 1 species